rnacentral:rRNA from 1 species
UACAGAGGGGGCAAGCGUUAUUCGGAAUUAUUGGGCGUAAAGGGCGCGUAGGCGGCUUUUCAAGUGACGGGUGAAAUCCCCUCGGCUUAACCGAGGAACUGCCUGUCAGACUGGAAGGCUUGAGACCGGGAGAGGUGAGUGGAAUUCCCAGUGUAGCGGUGAAAUGCGUAGAUAUUGGGAGGAACACCAGUGGCGAAGGCGGCUCACUGGACCGGAACUGACGCUGAGGCGCGAAAGCGUGGGGAGCAAACAGG